GACGAACGCUGGCGGCGUGCUUAACACAUGCAAGUCGAACGAAGUGGCGAACGGGUGAGUAACGCGUAAUCAACCUGCCCUUCAGAGGGGGACAACAGUUGGAAACGACUGCUAAUACCGCAUACUGAAGGAGGGGAUUGCGUCUGAUUAGCUAGUUGGAGGGGUAACGGCCCACCAAGGCGAUGCACAGUAGCCGGUCCGAGAGGAUGAACGGCCACAUUGGGAACGGGACACGGCCCAGAAUCCUACGGGAGGCAGCAGUGGGGAAUCUUCCGAAAUGGACGAAAGGCUGACUGAGCAACGCCGCGGUGGGGAUGACGGCCUUCGGGUUGUAAAGCUCUGUUAAUCGGGGCGCGGUACCGGAAGAGAAAGCCACGGCUAACUACGUGCCAGCAGCCGCGGUAAUAC
rnacentral:rRNA from 1 species